UCGUGUGAUCCUCUCUUUCACUCACGAGAACUUGCAUGCUUAGAAUCAAGAAAGAAAACAAAUGAAUGAUACAGAGACUUGUUUAUCCAAGAUAUCUCUCCGAUGUGGAGAACUAAUCCCUGGAACCAGACUCAGCCUAGCAAAUUCACUAGAACAAGGCACCGCUCGCAAUCGGAGAUAGUGAAAAACAACCAGAACUCGUCGCCAUCUCUGAUCUCUCUCUCUUAUCUAUUAGCUCACAUAGCUUAUUACUCUCCCUCUC
rnacentral:lncRNA from 1 species